rnacentral:rRNA from 1 species
AUGACAGACCGCAACCACAACCUCACGAUCCUAAACUGGAAUGUUCGGGGCCUAAACUGCCCUGACCGCCGCACUACCGUUCAUGAGACCAUCGCCUCUACGCCUUGCCAUAUCGUUUGCCUCCAGGAAUCCAAAAUGGAAUCAAUAUAUGAUUAUACUGCAGCCCACAUUGGUGGCCACAGACUUAAGAGUUUCGCCCAGCGCCCGGCUGAGGGCACGCGUGGUGGCAUCCUUCUGCUAUGGGAUGAUGAGGUGGUCCAUCUAUCCAACGUCCACUUUCGAGCGUUCACCCUUUCAGCCACGAUUACUUUGUACCCCGAGAGCCCCGCUCCUGUUUCCUUCAAGCUAACCAUGGUAUAUGGACCGACUAGAAGUAACCUCAAGGAUGCCUUCUUCGCCGAACUUGUCGCUGAAAAGCCACCCCCGGGUACCAUGUGGUUGUCGGAUUAA